GACGAACGCUGGCGGCGUGCUUAACACAUGCAAGUCGAGCGGUAAGGCCCUUUCGGGGGUACACGAGCGGCGAACGGGUGAGUAACACGUGGGUGACCUGCCCUCAGCUCUGGGAUAAGCCUGGGAAACCGGGUCUAAUACCGGAUAUGACUCCAUGACGCAUGUUGUGGGGUGGAAAGCCUUGUGCGGCUGAGGAUGGGCCCGCGGCCUAUCAGCUUGUUGGUGGGGUGAUGGCCUACCAAGGCGACGACGGGUAGCCGGCCUGAGAGGGCGACCGGCCACACUGGGACUGAGACACGGCCCAGACUCCUACGGGAGGGCAGCAGUGGGGAAUCUUGCGCAAUGGGCGAAAAGCCUGACGCAGCGACGCCGCGUGAGGGAUGACGGCCUCGGUGUAAC
rnacentral:rRNA from 1 species